GAGCUUGGGUGGCGCAGCUAACGCAUUAAGUUAUCCGCCUGGGGAGUACGGUCGCAAGAUUAAAACUCAAAGGAAUUGACGGGGGCCUGCACAAGCGGUGGAGCAUGUGGUUUAACUCGAAGCAACGCGCAGAACCUUACCAGCCUUUGACAUCCUACGACGGUUUCUGGAGACAGACUCCUUCCCUUCGGGGACCUAGUGACAGGUGCUGCAUGGCUGUCGUCAGCUCGUGUCGUGAGAUGUUGGGUUAAGUCCCGCAACGAGCGCAACCCUCGUCCUUAGUUGCCAUCAUUUAGUUGGGCACUUUAAGGAAACUGCCGGUGAUAAGCCGGAGGAGGGUGGGGAUGACGUCAAGUCCUCAUGGCCCUUACAGGCUGGGCUACACACGUGCUACAAUGGCAUCUACAGUGGGCAGCUAUCCCGCAAGGGUGAGCUAAUCUCCAAAAGAUGUCUCAGUUCGGAUUGUCCUCUGCAACUCGAGGGCAUGAAGGCGGAAUCGCUAGUAAUCGCGGAUCAGCAUGCCGCGGUGAAUACGUUCCCAGGCCUUGUACACACCGCCCGUCACACCAUGGGAGUUGGAUUCACCCGAAGGCAGUGCGCUAACCGCAAGGAGGCAGCUGA
rnacentral:rRNA from 1 species